AGUGAACGCUGGCGGUAGGCCUAACACAUGCAAGUCGAACGGCAGCACAGUAAGAGCUUGCUCUUACGGGUGGCGAGUGGCGGACGGGUGAGGCAUACAUCGGAAUCUACCUUUUCGUGGGGGACUACGUAGGGCAACUUACGCUAAUACCUCAUACGACCUACGGGUGAAAGCAGGGGAUCUUCGCACCUCGCGCGAUUGAUUGAGCCGAUGUCGGAUUAGCUAGUUGGCGGGGUAAAGGCCCACCAAGGCGACGAUCCGUAGCUGGUCUGAGAGGAUGAUCGGCCACACUGGAACUGAGAAACGGUCCAGACACCUCCGGGAGGCAGCAGUGGGGAAUAUUGGACAAUGGGCGCAAGCCUGAUCCGGGCAGACCGCGUGGGUGAAGAGGGCCUUCGGGUUGUAAAGCCCUUUUGUUGGGAAAGAAGAGCAGCAGGUUAAUACCCCGCUGUUCUGACGGCACCCAAAGAAUAAGCACCGGCUAACUUCGUG
rnacentral:rRNA from 1 species